rnacentral:snoRNA from 13 species
UGUGUGUUGGAGGAUGAAAAUAAGGAGUGAUCCAUCGGCUGAGUGUCUUAUCAUGAUGCUGAAACUCAAUUUGCUGACAGCACACA